UGGCGAUAAGGGCAAUGUCUGCACACUCUAGC
rnacentral:piRNA from 1 species